UGCAGUCGAACGCGUCUUGGUCAAUGAUUUUAGGUGCUUGCACUUGGAUGAUUUGACAUUGAGACGAGUGGCGAACUGGUGAGUAACACGUGGGUAACCUGCCCUUGAAGUAGAGGAUAACACUUGGAAACAGGUGCUAAUACUGCAUAACAACGAAAACCGCCUGGUUUUCGUUUGAAAGAUGGCUUCGGCUAUCGCUUUAGGAUGGACCCGCGGCGUAUUAGCUAGUUGGUGAGGUAACGGCUCACCAAGGCAAUGAUACGUAGCCGACCUGAGAGGGUAAUCGGCCACAUUGGGACUGAGACACGGCCCAAACUCCUACGGGAGGCAGCAGUAGGGAAUCUUCCACAAUGGACGAAAGUCUGAUGGAGCAACGCCGCGUGAGUGAUGAAGGGUUUCGGCUCGUAAAACUCUGUUGUUGGAGAAGAACGGGUGUCAGAGUAACUGUUGACAUCGUGACGGUAUCCAACCAGAAAGCCACGGCUAACUACGUGCCAGCAGCCGCGGUAAUACGUAGGUGGCAAGCGUUGUCCGGAUUUAUUGGGCGUAAAGCGAGCGCAGGCGGUUUUUUAGGUCUGAUGUGAAAGCCUUCGGCUUAACCGGAGAAGUGCAUCGGAAACCGGGAGACUUGAGUGCAGAAGAGGACAGUGGAACUCCAUGUGUAGCGGUGAAAUGCGUAGAUAUAUGGAAGAACACCAGUGGCGAAGGCGGCUGUCUGGUCUGCAACUGACGCUGAGGCUCGAAAGCAUGGGUAGCGAACAGGAUUAGAUACCCUGGUAGUCCAUGCCGUAAACGAUGAGUGCUAAGUGUUGGAGGGUUUCCGCCCUUCAGUGCUGCAGCUAACGCAUUAAGCACUCCGCCUGGGGAGUACGACCGCAAGGUUGAAACUCAAAGGAAUUGACGGGGGCCCGCACAAGCGGUGGAGCAUGUGGUUUAAUUCGAUGCUACGCGAAGAACCUUACCAGGUCUUGACAUCUUCUGCCACCUAAGAGAUUAGGCGUUCCCUUCGGGGACAGAAUGACAGGUGGUGCAUGGUUGUCGUCAGCUCGUGUCGUGAGAUGUUGGGUUAAGUCCCGCAACGAGCGCAACCCUUAUUGUUAGUUGCCAGCAUUUAGUUGG
rnacentral:rRNA from 1 species